GAUGAAGAACGUAGCGAAAUGCGAUAAGUAAUGUGAAUUGCAGAAUUCAGUGAAUCAUCGAAUCUUUGAACGCACAUUGCGCCCGCCAGUACUCUGGCGGGCAUGCCUGUCUGAGCGUCAUUUCAACCCUCGCGCCCGGCUUCUGUCGGGGGCGGUGUUGGGGAUCGGCCUCCCGUCUUCCGGGCGGCCGGCCCCUAAAUGGAGUGGCGACCGCGCCGUAGCCUCCUCUGCGUAGUAGUGAAACACUCGCGGGCGGAGAGCGGUGCGGCCCGCCGUAAAACCCCCAACUCUUCUAAGGUUGACCUCAGAUCAGGUAGGAAUACCCGCUGAACUUAAGCAUAUCAAUAAGCGGAGGA
rnacentral:misc_RNA from 1 species